rnacentral:rRNA from 3 species
UGGGGAAUAUUGGGCAAUGGGGGAAACCCUGACCCAGCAACGCCGCGUGAGGGAAGAAGGCUUUCGGGUCGUAAACCUCUGUCCCAUGGGAAGAGCAGAAGACGGUACCAUGGGAGGAAGCCCCGGCUAACUACGUGCCAGCAGCCGCGGUAAUACGUAGGGGGCGAGCGUUGUCCGGAAUGACUGGGCGUAAAGGGCGCGUAGGCGGCCAGACAAGUCUGGAGUGAAAGUCCCGCUUUCAAGGUGGGAAUGGCUUUGGAAACUGUCUGGCUUGAGUGUGGGAGAGGAUAGCGGAAUUCCCGGUGUAGCGGUGAAAUGCGUAGAGAUCGGGAGGAACACCAGUGGCGAAGGCGGCUAUCUGGACCAAGACUGACGCUGAGGCGCGAAAGCGUGGGUAGCAAACAGG